rnacentral:rRNA from 1 species
UACGUAGGGUGCAAGCGUUAAUCGGAAUUACUGGGCGUAAAGCGUGCGCAGGCGGUGAUGUAAGACCGAUGUGAAAUCCCUCGGCUCAACCAAGGAAGUGCAUCCGAAACUGCUGAGCUUGAGUACGAAAGAGGAUCGCGGAAUUCCCGGUGUAGAGGUGAAAUUCGUAGAUAUCGGGAGGAACACCAGUGGCGAAGGCGGCGAUCUGGGUCGAUACUGACGCUGAGGUGCGAAAGCGUGGGGAGCAAACAGG